rnacentral:rRNA from 1 species
AUGCAGAUGGAUGACGUCAUUGACCUUGUGUCAGAAGACGAUAUUGCCUCCUAUGAGGAGACAACUUCUGAAGAUACUGAAGAUGUGAAAGUCUGUGACGUAUGUGGAGAUGUUGGUGAGGAGAAGAAGCUCGCUGUUUGCAGCAGAUGCAAUGAUGGUGCUGUGCAUAUUUACUGUAUGUUGGUAAUGCUUAAAGAGGUUCCAGAGCGCGGGUGGUUGUGUGAUGAGUGCCAAGCUGAGGUAGAAAUUGAAAUUGAAAAGAAGAAACUUGAGAAAUCUCAAGUAAAUUUUGUCAUGGUUUCCAUGGAGAAUAAAGUUGGUGCUGAAAAGGCUAAAGACGCGUCUAAUGUGGCUUGUUGGAAUAAAAGGUUAAACAGACAGAGUGAGGCCAAUUUUUUAGAAGAGAUCAAAGAUGUGAAAGUAUGUGACAUUUGUGGAGAUGUUGGUGAAGUGGAGAAGCUCACUGUUUGUGGUAGAUGCAAUGGUGCCGAGCAUGUUUAUUGUAUGCAGGUGAUGAUGGAAAAGGUUCCAGAGGUCAUGUGGUUGUGUGAAGCAUGUCAAACUGAGGUAGAAUUUGCAGAGGAAAGGAUGGAACUAGAAAAAUCCCAAUUAAUGGUUGGUGCAUGUAAAUUAGAGUCCUUUGGAGGGCAAACGAAUAAACCUGUGGAUGAUGCAAAUAGUGGAAGUUAUUUUGAGGAUGAAAUGGAGGCUGGACAUGUGAGUAGUAAAACCUCAAACAUGAGAAAUCAAUCCAACAGUAUGGCUACCAAGAGGAUAGGAGACGAUGCAACAAUUACAUUACUGAUUGGAAAAGAUCUUUCUGAAUCUGGUGGUGUAUCCAUGGAAGGUGACUCCGCAAAAAGAGUGCCGCUUUCACGCAAAAAUUCACUCAAGCUGGAAACAGAGAAAGGAAAGGAACCUGCUAGGCCAAUGCCAACACCAUUGACAUUGAAUGCUCUGAAGAAUCAGGCACCACCUCUUUGUGGUCCACUCCCGAAGUCUAUUUCUUUCAAGAACUCAAAGGUCCCGAAGGUGAAACAACUGGUCAUUGAAGUUCCUCAAAAGCCCAAAAAUCUGAAGGAACCUAUAUCCUUAAUUACAAAACAAGACGGGCCAGUGAUCACACUUGCUAAGUCGACAUCAGUCAAAAAGCCAAACUCUACUGAGCCAGUAAGUAAAGGAAAGUCUUCCAUCUUACUAGAUGUUGAGGAACCAAGAAUGAUGAAUUCAGUAAUGAGCCGAAAUGUAACGAAUAAGAGGGGCACUUCUAUAUCUGGAUAUCCCUCUGUUGCUGCAUCAAUGCUUGUGCCAGUUCCUUCGAAAGCAGAAUCCGCAGCUCAGCAUCUCAAUAAACAAAAUAAGACGGAUAAUUUAGGCAUCGCUUAUGGACAAGACGGUAGAAACUUUCCUGCACCUAGUGAACCAAAGAGACAGCUUGUAGCAAAAAUCCCGGGAAGCCUAACGUUAAUUAGUGCUGAGACAUCCUCAGGUAUGCUUUGUUCUGGUGCACAGAUGAAGGGAAUUCAAAUCCCAGAUACUUCACUGGUUGAUAAAAUAAAGAACCCACCUAGCUUGAAGCCAGGUACUUCUUACAGCAGUUGCACAAUGCAUUGUCAACAAUGUGAUGAAGUGGGACAUUCUACACAAUUUUGUCCUGUUGGCAGAUCUAGCUUGUUUGUAACAGAACCUUUGAGUGAGCAAACCAGUGACCAAACUGCCAGAUGCAAUAGAACAUCUGAAGCUACUACUUUGUCUGCUACUGAAGACAUUUUGAAAUCAGCAUAUCAAUCUGAGCCAAGUCCAAAACGCCGCCGCUAUCAUAACCCAUCAUAUAAGCCUAUAAAUGUUUUAUGUACCUCCAUUAGUCAUGAGGAAAGCAGUGAGCAGGAUGUGAGAAAUGGUAUGCCUACUCCUAGUACUACAGCUCCUGUAGAUUGUCACGAGCUAAAAUACAAAGAGCAUCAGGCUGCAUCUGCCAUGGGAGGAAGAUUUGUGGACAGCAGUUCAACUAUGUUGAAUGAUCCUGCGGACAAAUCGCCAAUCUUUUCACCUAGUGAUGACAGAAUAACUUCUAGUGUUCCAGAGUUGGCUUACAUUUGGCAAGGUUGUUUUGAAAUAUGGAGGACUGGACGGUCAUCUAAGUUUUGUAAGGGCUUGCAAGGACACUUAUCAUGUUCUGCUUCACAAAAGGUUUUGGAUAUAGCAAAGAAAUUCCCUUCUAAAAUCCGGCUUGAGCAACUUCCUCGCCGGAAUAUAUACCCCCCACAGUUCCAUGGAAAUGGCCUUUCAUAUGACAGUAUUGGUCUUUUUUUCUUUGCAAGAGAUAUCCAGAGUUAUGAGAGGCAUUACAGUAAGUUAGUAGAAUGGAUGCUGAAAGGCGAUUUGGCACUCAGAGGAAACAUUGAAACAGCUGAAUUGCUCAUAUUUCCUUCCAAUAUCCUGCCAGAAAGCUUUCAAAGAUGGAACAUGUCCUAUUAUCUAUGGGGUGUAUUUAGAGUCAGAAGAAAAGACCCUAACCUUCCAUAUCAUAUACCCACAAGAAAACAUUGUAAUUUCAAUGGGAAUCUCUUGGCCGUGGGUCGAAGAACUCAUGCUCACGCUUCUUCUGGCCCCAGUUUCUAUUACUCACCUACUUGUGAAGACUCUCCACCUAUCAUGCCCUUGGAAGCUAAUCAUGAGGGUUGCCCCAAUGGUGAGAGUUCUCUAGGUAAAGAGAGCACAACUGUCAACCAUGACAGUGCAGAGGACCUGUGGGGACCCGGUCUAGUUGACCUACAACGGCGACCGCAAUCAGUAUGUCGCUAA